GGCAGCGGAAGACAGGCUCGCUGAUGACCUGGCUACAAUGGACGCCAAGGUGGCCACGGCCCUGGGAGCCUGGGAGAGGAGUCGGGAGUGCAGGACGCCGCCUCUCUAGCCCCUGCCAGGAGCUUGAGGGUGUAGGUAACUUACGGGCCCUGAGGAUAAAGUGGUGAGGAAGUAUCCACAAGUGUGUAUCCCUGGAACAUCAAGACCUGGAAGAUAGGAAGCUGGCAGUUACAACUCACUGUAACAGAUUCCCUGGUGAGGAAGCCAAGGGGUGACAUAGUGGGUGAAGCUUAUUGGAUGGAAUUACAUCUAAGCAAAGGGGUAUUUUAGGAGUUUUGCAUUUUAUGCAGAAUUAAGAUGCCACUGAAGUCUCACCCCCCCUUUGAAUUUCCUUGUCAUUAUGUCCCCCCACAUGUCUUGGACUGAAGCCAACCUUCAAAAUAGCUCUCGUUCCCUUAUACUGCUUCUCAUGCCUCUGUGGCAUUUCUCUCACUCAGUCUUC
rnacentral:lncRNA from 1 species